rnacentral:rRNA from 1 species
UACGUAGGUGGCAAGCGUUGUCCGGAUUUAUUGGGUUUAAAGGGUGCGUAGGCGGUCUAUUAAGUCAGUGGUGAAAUACUCCAGCUUAACUGGAGGGGUGCCAUUGAUACUGAUGGACUUGAGUGAAGUCGAGGUAGGCGGAAUUGACGGUGUAGCGGUGAAAUGCUUAGAUAUCGGCAAGAACACCAAUAGUGAAGACAGCUUACUAGGCUUAUACUGACGCUGAGGCGCGAAAGUGUGGGGAUCAAACAGG